rnacentral:ncRNA from 1 species
AAGAGCUGGAUGAGAAGAAACUCUCAUGUCCAGUUCUGUAGCAGAGAUGGAAUUGAAAAACAACCAUCUAUCCCAU